GAUGAAGAACGCAGCGAAAUGCGAUACUUGGUGUGAAUUGCAGAAUCCCGUGAACCAUCGAGUCUUUGAACGCAAGUUGCGCCCGAAGCCAUCAGGUUGAGGGCACGUCUGCCUGGGCGUCACAUAUCGUUGCCCAAUGCCUAUUGCAGUGCAAUAGGAAUUUCUAGGGCGAAUGAUGGCUUCCCGUGAGCGUUGUUGCCUCGCGGUUGGUUGAAAAUCGAGUCCUUGGUAGGGUGUGCCAUGGUAGAUGGUGGUCGAGUUAGAACGAUACCGAUCAUGUGCAUGCUCCCCAAAAUAUGGCCUCUAUGACCCACACGCGUCUUUUGACGCUCAUGACGAGACCUCAGGUCAGGCGGGGCUACCCGCUGAAUUUAGGCAUAUCAAUAAGCGGAGGA
rnacentral:misc_RNA from 1 species